UUUGAUUCUUCCACUCUUCUACUAACCAAAAUAAAAAUUUGUUAACAAAGAUGUACGUUCAACUUAAUAUAAGUUCUGGCUGAAAAGAAAACCAUUGUUAUCAAUUAAUUAGUAAAGUUGAUGACGUAAAAUAUUAUUAAAAUUAAAAUCAUUGAAUGCAAUUUUGAAAUAUUAUAUUAAAAUGAAGAACAGAUCAACACGUCAUAAAUGGAAAGAUACAUUUCAGGUUAUAUUAUAUUAUUAAUAAUCUUGCAAAAGGGAAGAAAACGACGAGGAAGUGGAAAUGUAUUUUUAUGAAGCAACACAAAAAUGGAAUCUCAUGAAAUUAACAUAUGACUAUUGUAGUUCUAAAAUAUAAAUGAGAAAAAUUAUUAUACUUUCGUAAUCGCUCGAUAAGGAACAAUUAAUCAUCGAACGUUCCUAAAAUAUAUAUAGUUAAAAAUUAAAGAAGACUACAAAUUAUCCAGGAAAACUCGGAAUUAUCAGCAAAUGAAAAUAAGCUUAUCUCUAAAAACAAUGAAAAAGAAAAUGAAGAUGGUAAUGACGAUAAUGAAAACGUGAUGAUAAAAAUAAUACUUUAGUUGACCAAGACAAUGAAGAAAGAAUGGAAUGAUAUAAAAUUAAAUAAUGAAAAUAUUGUAUAUAUUUAGAAGAUAAAGAUGAAACGACAGAUGCACAUUUGUUUGACAUAUGAAGACAUAUUGAAUUUUCGUAUAUUUAUUCAUAUAUUAUUUUCAUAAUCUAGACCAAACUAUAAUUCGAUAGAUACGCAACAUUGGAGAAUUAUGGUUAUGCUAAUCUGAUUGCUACUUUCAAGAUUUUAACUUGGAUUGUAAUCGAGCGAUUACAAAUAGAUUUUCAUUCAUAAAAUUCAUAAAAUUAGUAAAUAUAUUUGUCAAAAAUUUAAUUUUCUUCGCAUAGAUCUCGAAAUAAGUCAAAAGUCAUAUUGUUUACUCAGAUAACGAUUAUUGAUUAUAUAAAAAGAGUAAUACUUUACCUCUUACUUCACUGAUGAAAUGAUAAAGAAAAACUGUAGCUAUAGAAAUAAUUGAGGCACUUAAUUUGUUCUCAUUGGUAUCAUUCUAUUUAAUAUUAAUUAGAAUCCCUAUUCUAAGUAUACAAGUUUAUUAUGUUCUGAGAAAUACAAUAUUCAAAUGGGCCACUGAUAUUAAUGGGAUAUAAAUGGGAAAAUUAAAUGAAAUACUUUUUAAUGUAAAGUCUCAUUUGAUACAAGAAACGUUCACGAUUAUAGAAUCAUCUACUUUUGGAAAAAUUGACAAAGGAGGUAACUUCUGUGACAAAGAAAUAAAUGCGUAAGGAAGAAAAUACGAAAUUCUAUAGUAAAAGACAACAAAACUACAACAAGAGAUAUAUAAGCUGCAUGUAAAGUGUCGUAAUUAGUUCUACAAAUUUGUGGGACAAUUGAAAUUAGCAGUAAAGGAAGAAACCUUAAAUUAUACAACGAAGGAAGAAAGUAAACAAGAAGAAAAACGUGAGUAGUGAAUAAGAAAGAGAAUCUCAAUAGGAAAAGUAAAAAAUAAUAGAGUAGUCUAUAAGAAAGAGAAUGUCAAAAGAAAGAUCGACUUUGAAAUUCUCUAAUUAGGCGUUUUAUGUACAUAUCCAUGUAAAAAAAGUGUACUUCCUUGAGUUAGAUUUGCCGCGUUUCUCAUGUCCCGUUCUUCGAUUGACUUUUGUUAUGUACAAGUCGAGCCGUUAAAAUUUUGAAGAAAAACGAGCAUUAGGAAAUAGGACCUAUGUACGAGAGAUUACAGAGAAAUUUUAUAAAGAUAAUAUAUUAAAUAAAAUUUAAGUAGGGUAAAUAAUAAACGUAAAUUGUCGUUUCUCUGUUCAUAGGUAAGACUGUAAAUAGCAAAUAAUUGUUAAUUAACGAAUAAAGAUUUAUUCCUUUGUUCACAGAGAAACAUAUUUUUGUUUAUCACCUCAUCCAAAAUAAUAAAACAUAUUAUAAAACGACAAUUUUUGGUUUAUAAUGACAAGAAAACUACAAUUCGUAUUUAAAUGUGUGGCAUCACCGAGCGGUAGAAAGACAAAUGUGAUCGCCAUAACCUCUAUCACAACUGAGGACAAAAAAAAAUGUGUUGCUAGAAAAUGAAAAAUUUGUAAGUAACCACAGCGGACUAACAAAAACAGAAAGUUAUAACAGAAGGAAAAAAGCCUCAAUCAAAGAGGCCAAGAAAGAAGAAUAUGGAUUAAGUGCACACAGGAAAUGUACAGUACGUAUUUUGAUGAAGAUGACAAUAUAAUGUUUAAUGAUCUAUAUCUAGAAGAGAUAGUGAAAACAAACACAGUAGAACCCACACAGUAGAAAGAAUACCAAAUAGAUUUAAAGUGUAUAUCAGAAAAAUUCAUGAUUAAAAAAUUUGUAUGUAAACACUCAAAUGCAGACAAGGGAUGGAGUACAUGUAUAUACGCUAUAUCCUACAGAUAUAAAGAAGGUUCACUAAUGGAAUACGUUAUGAGGAAAGUAAAACUAUUACUGGAUAUGGACAACGAUAUCAGCACAAAGAAUCUGAUGAUGCUUAUAGCAGCAGGAUUACCAGAAUUCAUAAGAGAUAAAAUAGAUAGAGAAAAUUGUCAAAGCUCAACAGAAUUAUUACAAGAAAUAAAAAAAUUUGAAAAUCUAGUAAGUAAAAACAGUUUUACAAAAAAGAAAGAGGAAAGGCAAGAUAAUAAGAAGAAAUUCGAAGAAAAGAAACCAUGUAAGAAUUGUGAAAAACUAAACAAAGAUAUUAGAUAUCAUUCAGAGGACUCCUGUUGGUUCAAAAAAGAAAAUAGAAAGGAAAUCAGGAUUAAUGGAAGAAAUUCGAUGAUAGAAGUGGACCUAAGCAAGGAACAAAAAAACAAAUAACCAUACCAUUGAUCAAAGUAAAGAUAGUAUUAGAAGAGAAGUUAAAGGUCAACGGAAGAUAUGACACAGGUUCCCAUGUCUCUCUAAUAAAUUUGAGACUAGUCAAAAUAAAAAAAAAGAGACAGAAGAUAAAAAUAAAAUAUUUUUAAAGAUGGUCAAUGGUGUGACAGAAACAAAAGGUUUAGUAACCAUUAAAGUAAAAAUUUUGGAUAAAAAGGAAUACGUUGAUGUAUUUAUUAUAUAAAGACUUCGAAGAUUUCAUUAUUAGGUUAGAUAUGAUAAAGAAAUUCAAACUAACUCAGGAUGAAAACUUACAGAUAUCUCAAAAGAAAAAAAAACAAAUAAAAAAAGAAUAUAAAUACAUUGAAUAGAAAUGAAGAAAUAAAAGAAGUUGAAGUAAAUUUUAACGAACAGGUGAAUGAAGAUGAAUUUAGAUUGGAUCUGAAUCACUUGGACAAUACAAGAAAAAAGGAUAAAAAACUUAUAGAAAAGUAUAAUUUCAUAUUCGCAAAAAAUAAAUAUGAUGUAGGCACCGUUUCGGACUACGAAGCUCGAAUAGGCUUACUGGUUGAUAAAUAUUGCAGUAAGAGGCCAUAUAGAUGCACUAUAGAGGAUAAAAAGGAGAUAGAAAAUCAGGUGGCAAAACUAUUAGAAAAUAAAUUAAUUGAAGAAUCUAUAGUCCGUUUGCAGCACCAAUAACUCUAACAUUCAAAAGAGAUGAAAACAAACGAUCACGAUUGUUAUAGAUUUCCGCAAAUUGAACAAGAUAGUUACACCACAAGCUCAACCAUUCUCAUUAAUAGAAGAUUUAAUAAACUAAAAACAAGAAACUGUAAAUACUUCACCUCACUAGAUAUAAAUUCCGCUUUCCGAUCAAUUCCAUUACAUAUUGAAGCUAAACAGAAAACAGGAUUCGUUACACAAAGUGGACACUUCCAUUGGACAUGUCUACCGUUCAGACUAAAAACAUCACCAGCUAUUUUCCAAAGAAUAUUAUUCAAUAUUUUAAGAAAGGACAAAUAAAAGACUUUUCAGAGAAUUACAUAGAGGACAUCUUCAUUUUUUCAGAAUCAUUCGAAGAACAUAUAGAACACAUAGAAAGAGUAACAAAAGCAAUAGUAAAUGAAGGUUUCAGACUAAAAUUUGAAAAAUGUACAUUUGUAACAGAAUCAGUGGAAUAUCUCGGACAUAUAAUAGAGCACAAUACAGUAAGACCAGUGAAAGAUAAUCUAAUCUCAAUACAAAAUUUUCCCCACUUCAAAAACCCAUAAAAAUAUUAGACAGUUUCUCGGAAAAAUAAACUUCUGUCAUGAAUAUAUACCGAAAAGCUCAAUACUGCUAGACCCAUUACAUAAACUAUCAAGAAAAAAAUGAGAAGUUUAUAUCGUCUGAAGAGUGUGAAAAAUCUUUUACAAAUAUAAAAAAAUUAUUAUGUUCUCAACCAGUGUUGCAAAUAUUCGAUAAGAAUUUACCUAUAAAAAUUUACACGGAUGCAUCAAUAGAAGGCAUUGGUGCAAUAUUUAAAUAGAUACAAAGUGAUGGUAAAGAAAAGCCAGUAGCGUACUUUUCAAAAAAAUUGAAUGAUUCGCAAAAAGGAAAAAAAAGCAAUUUACUUAGAAUGCCUGGCAAUCAAGGAAGCGGUAAUGUAUUGGCAAUAUUGGCUGAUCGGAAGAAAGUUCACGAUAUUUACAGAUCAUAAACCAUUAGAAGGUAUAUGAACAUAAAAGCUAGAACAGAUGAAGAACUUCGGGAGUUAAUGUACUAUUUGUCACAAUAUGAUUUUCAAAUUAAAUAUAUUCCGGGAAAGAUGACGCUGAAGCAGAUAAUUUAAGUAGAAAUCCAGUACUGGAAUCAUCCGAAAAUACAGAAAAAAUGCUAAAAGUAGUUAAUCUAAUAAAAUUAAAGGAGAUAAAAACAGAUCAAAAAGAUUAUUACAAACAUCAAGAACGCUAAAAAAUUUUUAACUACAGAUAUUGGUCCAGUGAAAAAAGUAAAGAAAUUCAAAUACGUGGGAGAAAUAAUUCAAGAAAAUGAUGUAGAAAAAUCUGCAUUAGAAGAAAGGUUACGCAAGAUGGAAAUAGCAUAUGGUAUCACUAAGAAUUUUUACAACAAAAAGUGUUUAUCUAAAAAUCUUAAAAUAAGUCACUACGCUACAGUAGUGAAAGCGGAAUGCUUAUACGCGAAUGAAUGCUUGGCACUAAAUUAUAGAUUAGAUAAACUAGAAGUAUUAGAAAGGAGAAUCAUGAGGAAAAUUUUAGGUCCAGUGAAAACAACAAAAGUAUGGAAAUUAAUAUCUAAUGAUGAAAUAUACAGGAACAUAGAAGGCAUAACAGAAAAGAUAAAGGAAAAGAAGACUGCAAUUUUUUGGCCAUAUUUACAGAAUGGAUGAGUCCAGAUUAACAAAAAGGAUACUCAUAUACCUUUGGGAGAAAAAGGCAACAACUGGCUGGAUUCAAGAGGUAAAAAGAGAUCUAGAAAGAAAUAAUAUAAGUGAGGAAGAAACUAUAGACAGAGAGAUUUUUAGAAAGAGGGUAUUAAACAUGGAAGGAUUCCAAGGAAGAUUGAAGAAGAAAUCUGUACGAAGUGGUCUGAGGACAGAAAGAAACAGCAUAGUGAAAAGAUGAAGGAAUAUUGGAGGGAACGGAAAAGAAAACAGCUAAGUGUGAAGAACUGAAAUUGGCACAUGGUCCCUAGCAGGCCUCAUCGAAAGAAGAAGA